rnacentral:tRNA from 1 species
GUAGAUUUAAGUUAAGUGAAACUAUUAAUUUUCAAAAUUAAAAAUGGUUAGUCUAUA